AGAACGAACGCUGGCGGCAGGCUUAACACAUGCAAGUCGAACGAUGUAGCAAUACAUAGUGGCGCACGGGUGAGUAACGCGUGGGAACGUGCCCUUCAGUUUGGGAUAACACCGGGAAACUGGUGCUAAUACCGAAUAUUCCCUCCGGGGGAAAGAUUUAUCGCUGAAGGAUCGGCCCGCGUAAGAUUAGGUAGUUGGUGGGGUAAUGGCCUACCAAGCCUACGAUCUUUAGCUGGUCUGAGAGGAUGAUCAGCCACACUGGAACUGAGACACGGUCCAGACUCCUACGGGAGGCAGCAGUGGGGAAUAUUGGACAAGUAGGGGGAAACCCUGACUCCAGCCAUGCCGCGUGAGUGAUGAAGGCGUUAGGGUUGUAAGUCUUCUUUACGUAAGGAAGAUGAUGACGUACC
rnacentral:rRNA from 1 species